UUGAGUUUGAUCCCUGGCUCAGGACGAACGCUGGCGGCGUGCUAAUACAUGCAAGUCGAGCGGACAGAUGGGAGCUUGCUCCUGAUGUUAGCGGCGGACGGGUGAGUAACACGUGGGUAACCUGCCUGUAAGACUGGGAUAACUCCGGGAAACCGGGGCUAAUACCGGAUGGUUGUUUGAACCGCAUGGUUCAGACAUAAAAGGUGGCUUCGGCUACCACUUACAGAUGGACCCGCGGCGCAUUAGCUAGUUGGUGAGGUAACGGCUCACCAAGGCAACGAUGCGUAGCCGACCUGAGAGGGUGAUCGGCCACACUGGGACUGAGACACGGCCCAGACUCCUACGGGAGGCAGCAGUAGGGAAUCUUCCGCAAUGGACGAAAGUCUGACGGAGCAACGCCGCGUGAGUGAUGAAGGUUUUCGGAUCGUAAAGCUCUGUUGUUAGGGAAGAACAAGUGCCGUUCAAAUAGGGCGGCACCUUGACGGUACCUAACCAGAAAGCCACGGCUAACUACGUGCCAGCAGCCGCGGUAAUACGUAGGUGGCAAGCGUUGUCCGGAAUUAUUGGGCGUAAAGGGCUCGCAGGCGGUUUCUUAAGUCUGAUGUGAAAGCCCCCGGCUCAACCGGGGAGGGUCAUUGGAAACUGGGGAACUUGAGUGCAGAAGAGGAGAGUGGAAUUCCACGUGUAGCGGUGAAAUGCGUAGAGAUGUGGA
rnacentral:rRNA from 1 species